GAUGAACGCUGGCGGCGUGCCUAUACAUUCCAAUCGGGGCAACCGAACAGGAGCUUUCCCCCUCUGAGUUAGCGGCGGAAGGGUGGGUUAACCGUGGAAAACCCUCCUAUAAGAACGGGGUUACCUUGGGAAACCCGGACCAAAACCGGGAAAAUAUUUUAACCCCCAUGUUUAAUAAUUAAAAACGGUUUUUGCUUUACUUUAUAAUUGGACCGCGCCGCAUUAGCUAGUUGGUAAGGUAACGGCUUACCAAGGCCACGAUGCGUAGCCGACCUGAGAGGGUGAUCGGCCACACUGGAACUGAGACACGGUCCAGACUCCUACGGGAGGCAGCAGUAGGGAAUCUUCCGCAAUGGGCGAAAGCCUGACGGAGCAACGCCGCGUGAGUGAUGAAGGUCUUCGGAUCGUAAAACUCUGUUAUUAGGGAAGAACAAAUGUGUAAGUAACUAUGCACGUCUUGACGGUACCUAAUCAGAAAGCCACGGCUAACUACGUG
rnacentral:rRNA from 1 species